rnacentral:rRNA from 1 species
UACGGAGGGUGCAAGCGUUAUCCGGAUUCACUGGGUUUAAAGGGUGCGUAGGCGGGUAGGUAAGUCAGUGGUGAAAUCUUCGAGCUUAACUCGGAAACUGCCUUUGAUACUAUCUAUCUUGAAUAUUGUGGAGGUAAGCGGAAUAUGUCAUGUAGCGGUGAAAUGCUUAGAUAUGACAUAGAACACCUAUUGCGAAGGCAGCUUACUACGCAUAUAUUGACGCUGAGGCACGAAAGCGUGGGGAUCAAGCAGG